GGAGUUUGAAAGAAUAAAGAGAUGGAGGGAACGCAUCAUAACCUGGUAUGACCUGGAUCAACAUAAACAAAGGGGUUUAGAUAGCUCAUGGUUCUGCUGGUUAGGAAGUUCAAGCGCAAGGCCCUGACUUCUGGUAAGUGCUUUCAUGCUGCAUCAACACGACUAAGAAGGUCAAAGAAGAAGUGGACAUACUUCCUUUGGCCUGGAGGCAAACUUAGGAGCUGCCUUUCAGUGUCAUCUCAGGAGCAUCCUUGAAAGAAUCAGGGAAGAAAGUG
rnacentral:lncRNA from 10 species